AUCGCCAUGGUUACGUUAGCUAACGUCAACGUUCUUGCUAAACAUAAUAUUUUAACGUCGAUGUCUGCGCUGUUUUUCACCUAAUGUAUUGACUUUUUGUUUAGAUUAUGUCAGCUGGUUAGCUAAACUAGCAAACAAAGUAUAAAAAAUAACAGUUACAUUAUGUUUUAAAUCCACUUAAUUAGCUAGCUAGCUAUGAUUGCUAAUGCUACCAUAGUGUGCUCAGCAUUAGCUAGCUGCUGUAAUUAGCCUGCUGAUUGGUGCUAAUCUGGAUUCACGGAAUGAAAUUAGCACCUGUCACCUGCCAGAUAACAGGGCAAAUGCUGGCUGAGGCAGGUAAAAACUUCAGGUCACCUUCCACCAUGGCAGACAGGUCACCUCCUGCUUAUCUCCUGAGAUGUAGAUGACCCUGGAGAAGCUUGGAGGAGCCUCCGGACUUUCUGCUGGACUCUCACACUCCUCCUCCUCAUCAUCAACAACAGUAUCCUGAGAAACACAACGGAUAUUAAAAACCGCUCUCACGUCUUCUGGUGGCACGAGUUGCUGGGACAGAGGCAGCUGGUAGAGGUACAGAGCCAGCAGGUGUCCUCCGCUGAAGAUGGCCAUCAUCACACACAGGGAGCUGAAGAUGAGCAGGCUGAUGGAGCGGCCAAACACCCACCACCACACCAGCCCGAGAAACACCCCAAAAUACAAACUUGAGACACAAAUGACUGAAAGUUGGGAAAGAACAUAACCUCACCUUUCAUGGUGGCGAGGCUGGGGUUCGGCAGCAGCGGCAAGGUGAGCAAAAACAGGAAAUACACCACAGAAAGGCCAUUGUAGCGGAACGAAGACACUGAGGUGCAGAAGAAAGAGCACACAUAACUCCAUCUGUUUGAUUGAAAUGGUCUGAAGUAAUUCACUUAUCCUUUUAUAAUCUGUUCUUUAUAUCACAAACAGGUCACAUUAACAACCAAAGAAACUCUAAAAGAAAACUAAGAAGAAAAUGACCUGUGUAGGUGUAACCUGCAUCUUGCCUUAUUUUGAAUUCUAAAAUGAAAUUAACACAGUUCAUCUAAACCAACACGCCCUGUGUCUCCACAUUAACACUGAUAAAAAACAUGGAAUAGAGAAACCUGUGCUCAGAGUGAUAUUUCAGCAGUGGUGGAAGAAAUAAAAGUAGCAAUACUACAGUGUAGAAAUACUCUGUCACAAGUAAAGUAAAAGUACAAAAAUAUCAGCAUCAAAAUAUACUUAAAGUACCAAAAGUAAGAGUACUCAAUAUGCAGAAUGGCCUAUUUCAGAAUAAUACAUAUAAAUUGUUUUAUUGGAUUAUAGGUAUUGAUGCAUUCAUGUGUUCAUCUCUCUUAUGUUGCAGCUGGUAAAGGUGGAGCUCAUUUUAAUUACUCUGUAUAUACAGCUGGGUAGAUCGUGAAUUCACCCUCGGGGAUCAAUAAAGUCUUAUCUUAACAUAUAUCAUAACACAUAAUAAUAAUAAUACAUAAUACAUCAUAAUUUAUUAAAUAUUUACCUCUGAAAUGUAGCGAAGUAGAAGUAUAAAGUAGCAGAAAAGUACAUCAAAAUUGUAGUAGAUUUCAGUAGAACCACUGGAUUUCAGAUUGUUUUUAGUUGGCAUAAUGAAAUUAAAGGCUAUGUCAGUCCUCUGUAGUGACUCUUUGUCUUUUAAUGAAUUUUAAUGUAAGACGUGGAUAUAAGAAACUCAUUAGUGUAGUAAAUUUACUACAUAUCCCUAUUUUUCAUGUAAAUAUAGCUAGAUAAAGUAUGUUUUUUUCACACUAUCGCAUUGUAGAUGUCAUGUACAUUAACAAUUUCCUGAAAUUCAGCCUGUAUUUGGUAAUUUUUAAGAACGUCAGCGUCUCAACUAGAG